UUGAAGAUAAUAAAUUGUCUCUCUGGCACAUGCUGUUUGGCAGGAAACCCUUCUGGCUCAAAAGUUACUAAUACUAACUGGAAUUUCUCCUGAAUAAAGUCAGUAACGUAAGCACAUGUAACAAGAGCACAUACAAACUUUUCAGAAACCUUGGAGUAAAAGGCUUCAUACUAAUAUUGGACCUGAUUGUUGUAAGGCCCCAUUUUAUUCCUGCCCUAAAGUUAGUGGGCUGCCCCUAAGUGGGCCUAAGGGUUGGCCCAGUGUAUAUAAACCCUGCUACGUUGCCCUAAUGGGAGGUCUGUGUUUUCCCUUUCUGAACCAGCCGUCGCUCCGCCCCUUCGUACCGCUAGAGCUCUGCUAGGGUUGCCCUGAGGUCCUCCUCGAGCUAGCUCAAAGCUCAAGUCCUACUUCCUGCACGACUUCCUGAUCCGUCUCCCGAACUGCUGUGCUUCGGGGCCCAAUGUCGAGGUCUGUGCGAACCCUUUUCCAGAUGGGCGAGGUCCUCGUGGUCAGCAAGGGAGUGGUGAUCCAGCAGCUUAGCCAUCCGGGCUAGAAUUCGAACGUCUUUCUUUCAUGUUUCUUUAGGGCUAUGGCCCCUGUAUUUGUUGUUACCGGAUUUGUAAACUCUUAGUCAAACUGCUUAUCCUGCUUUUGUUGGCAUCGUGGUGUGCCUGAUUUUGUAGGGGUGACGUUAUGAACCCCAGGACUGCAUUGUCGAUUUAUCUAUGUGUGACGUGUCCUUUAAUUUUACGUAUUAAAUUAAAUGGGACGUUACAAUUGUUGUUCUUAAAAAUUAGCUUUUCAGUGUUGAGCAAUCUCCUGUUAUUGUUUAGCAUCACAUUCGACUUGUUUCCCUUUCUUAAUUGGCACCAUGCACCAUCACCAAAGGCAAUUUUCAACGAUUGAUACCAUUUUCCCGCUAUAUAUCUCCCUCUCAUUCCCCUUCUUCACCCCUGAAUCUCACUCCCUCUCCACGGUUGGGUCACUAACAAUUGCUAAAAGGAAAAUAGUUUUCGGAAGGACCCUUGCAUCUCUAACUUGAAUGAAAAGAUACAGCAACAUGACCCAUUCCGCAAUUGUGCAAGUAGCAGUAACCAUAACAGAAUCAAGUCAUGGUGUCACUGCCAUGAUGUUUUUGACACUUUGUUCCAAUUAACUUUAUGCGUUAUGGUGUGGAAAUUACCGAACAACAACAACAAAGUUGUUACUUUAUUCAGGAUGUGGGAUUUGUGUAGCUCCGACACGGCUCAAAAGAGGCGUCUCCGCAUUGGAAGCGCAUCGCAAAUACGGAUGUGCGACGAAGGUGUGCACGACACCACGUCGGACACAUUUUUUUGGCCAAGACACAGCUGUGCUCUUGGACACGCCGAAGAUGAUGCGACCCUGCUCCUUGACACGCUGGGACAUGCCAGAGAAGACAAACUAGGACACACGAAUCAAAUUUGAUUAAAAAAAUAACAAAAUCAAAAACCUUGAAUAUAUUUUAAUUAAAAGAAAAUAAAUAAAACAAGGAAACAAAAUCUUUGUGAAUCCUCGUAUAGGUCUACGACUCUGUUUUAUAAGAAAUUACUCUAUAAAUUUACAUAAGCAUCUUCAGAAGAAUCACACCCUACGAAGCACAGACAUCCUAUAUGACUCUGUUAUAAGAAAUUACUCUACAAAUUUACAUAAGCAUCUUCAGAAGAAUCACACCUGAAGCACAGACACUGAAACGAUAAGGACACGGGAUACAACCAAAUUGCAAAAAUAUAGUAUAUGGACACGGCGAUAUAUAUACUAAUCAUACUUCAUAAUUUAAAAAUAAUAAAGAGAAACCUUUAUAAAAGAAGUCCUACAAAAGAAAAUCUUAUGUGAAUCAUAAUGUUUGACUUUCAUAUUUCUUCAUCUUCGUUGAAAAAUACAACUUCUAAUUCUGGUCCAUUAUGAGAUAAGCUUGCAAGAAUUCCAUUGUCAUCCAAUGAAAAAUCAUCUACUGCAAUAUCCCACAUUUUAGUUUCCUCUUUGUAUUUUGAGGAUGUUUCUUGAGAGAAGACCAAGAUUACUCCAGAAAAAUACUAAAUCAUCCCACCAUGUUAGGUGUCAACUUAUUUCUUUUCAAAGAAUAUACUCAAAUUCUUUUCACAACAAGAUGAAGAACAUGGUUGUCCAAGUAGUUUAAGAGCUAUCUUUUGGAGUGUUAGUACAUGAGAUCCAUGAACAAUCUCCACCAUGAUUUUUGCAUCUAUUUUACGUCUAUCUCGUUAAGAGUCAACAUCUACAAAAUCUUUCCUUCCAUUUGAAAAGUUUGCAUACUCUAUAUUUACUUGUCUCUUAAUAUCCACAUCAUCAAAGUACCUCUUAACAUUCAUGACUAUAAUAUCUACAAUAUUAAAAAUACAUAAACUAACAAGAUAUUAUAAAUAAAAUGUGUACAAUAAAAUAUAAUCAUAAAAUAAUUUAACAAUAUCAUUACCUUAUAUUUAAAGAAUGAGCAAGACAAUGAAGAGAUGUGCUACACUUAGACCAACAAUCAAUUAAUAUUAAGUUUAUUGCCCAGAAAAGGGAUGAAUGUUCAAUUUUUGUCUUUCUUUCAUGUUGGUAUAUGAUUUUUCUCACAUUUUGAAUCAUUGAACCCUACAUUUCAUAUACUAAGUGAAGAGUAGCCAUAUCGAUAUAUUUUUUCUUGAGAACAUCAUAAAUAGGGGCAGUAAAAGCAAAUAUAUAAUCAACCUUCAUCCACUAAUUAUUAGUCAAUAAAGUUUCUCUCACAAAUUGUGCACAUACCGCAUUAUCCUCUUUGUAUGAAGACCAUUCAUCACUAAUAACCAUAUCUUGGAGUCUUUUUUCUUUUUUUUCAAACUUCUAAACCUUUUCAACAUGACAAUGGUUGAAGCAAAUUUUGUUAGAGCAACAUAAAGCAACUUCAAUGAGUUGAAGUUAUUGACCAUUAUAAUCUCAUAGAGUGUCUCACAAUAAAGUUUUUAAUAAAUGUAGCAUCAUCAUCAAUUUGUGUGAUCCAAGAACAUUCUUCAUAAGUAUCACUAUUUUUUGCUUCACAAAUAUUUUUCAAUACAAGAUUCAAGGUAUGCACUACAGAAGGAGUCCAUUAGAUGGAAGGAAAUUUUAGUUCUAUGGUCAUACAUGUUGCCUUACAACUGCAUUAUCAAUUAUAAUUUAAACCACAUUUUUCAGUCUAACCUCCACAAUUAAAUCUCUCAUGUGUUUAGUAAUGAAAUCUUUGUCUUUUAUCCCAACAUAUCCAUCUAUUGACCUCUAAAACAUUAGUCCACUCUACAUGAUAACCAUAAAAUUUAUAAGAGGUCUUCUUUGAAGAUCACUUCACUCAUUACAAUUAUUGUCAUGUCUUUUUGAUUCCAUGAGUUUCAUAUAUUUUGCAAAAGAUUAUCAACGUCACUUCUUUCUUUUAAAAGUAAAUGGCCUCUCAAUUUAUUAUAUCUUGGUGGUACAUAUCCACUAAGAUUAGAAGUAUUGCCAGGGUAAGAGAAUGCACUUCAAUAAUAAGGACUUCUUGCCAAAUGAAAUGGUAGUCCUGAAUAAUAAAACAUCAUCACAGUCUCACAAUCAAAAAUAUCUCUAGCUUUUUUGAAAGAAACUUCUAAAGGACCUUUGAGUUUUGGGUUAACAACAUAUACAUGUGGUGAAGGGACCUUUUAUUUCCUUUGUGUUGAAAGUCUCACAUUGACUAGAGAUAAGACAAUUUCAUAGUAUAUAAGUGGGAUGUAAACCUCACCUUACAAACCGGUUUUUUGGGGUUGAGUUAGAUUUAAACUCCGCUUCUAACAUGGUAUCAGAGCUCGGUUAAAAAGUCUCACCCAUUAAUGUCUAGUCUUACGCACGAGAUGUAUAUACCUAGGGCAUGAUAUAUAAGUGGGAUGCACACCUCACCUUACAAGCCGGUUUUGUGAGGUGGAAUUAGGCUUAAAGUUCACUACUAACACUUUAAAUUUUUUAUUUUCAAUGUUGCUUUAUUGUCUAAUAUUUUAAACUCAACGAAUUCUAACUCUUCCUGUAAUUUUUAACAAAUGAGCUUUCACUCGAUUGUAAGAUCCAUUAAAAGAAAAAUCACAUAAAUUGCACUUGAUCAUAUUAUUUCCAUUAAUGAAAUAAUAUGAUCAAAUCCAGUCGGGUGUGAUUUUUCAUUUAAUAGAUCUUACACUUGAGUGAGAGCUCAUAUGUUAAAAAUUACAAAAGAGGAUUUAUAAUUUAUUCAAACAUGGCCCCUUCAAAACUUGUUGAGCUUAAAAGAUUAGACAAUGAAGCAACAUUGAAAAUAGAAAAUGCAAAGGAAAAAAAUGUCCCUCUACCACUUGUAUCUGAAGAAGGAAAACACACAAACAGUGGUGUUAACCCAAAACUCAAAGAUCCUUUAGAAUCUUCUUUCAAUAUUCAAGCUAGAGAUACUCUAGAUUGUGAAACUACAAGGAUAGUUUAUUCUUCAAGACUACCAUUUCAUCUAGCAAGUCCUUAUUAUAAGAGUGUAUUUUCUUACGCUACCAAUACUUCUAAUCAUAGUCGAUAUGUACCACCAACAUAUAAUAAAUUUAAAGGUCAUUUACUUUCAAAAGAAAGAAGUCAUGUACAAAAUCUUUUGUAACCUAUAUGAAACUCAUGGAAUCAGAAAGACAUGACAAAUAUUAGUGAUGGGUGGAGUCAUCCUCAAAGAAGGCAACUUAUAAAUUUUAUGGCCAUCACGGAGUAGACCAAUGUUUUUUAGGUCAAUAUAUGGAUCUAGUAGGAUAAAGGAUAAAGACUUUAUUGCUAAACACAUGAGAGAUGAAAUUAUGAAAGUUGGACCGAAAUAUGUGUUACAAAUUAUAAUUGAUAUUGCAGUUGUAUGUAAGGUUGCAGGUAUGAUCAUAGGAUUAAAAUUUCCUUCAAUCCACUAAAUUCCUUAUGUAUUGAAUACCUUGACUCUUGCAUUGAAAAAUAUUUGUGUAGCAAAAAGUACUGAAAAAAAUAGUGAUACUUAGUAAGAAUGUUCUUGGAUCGCAAAAAUUAUUGAUGAUGCUACAUUUAUU